rnacentral:rRNA from 1 species
CCUACGGGAGGCAGCAGUGAGGAAUAUUGGUCAAUGGCCGGAAGGCUGAACCAGCCAUGCCGCGUGAAGGUCAGUGCACUAUGGGCGUUAAACUUCUUUUGUGCGGGAGCAAUAAUGGUCACGUGUGGCCAGACGAGAGUACCGUACGAAUAAGCAUCGGCUAACUCCGUGCCAGCAGCCGCGGUAAUACGGGGGAUGCAAGCGUUAUCCGGAUUUAUUGGGUUUAAAGGGUGCGUAGGCUGUGAGGUAAGUCAGCGGUGAAAUGCCCCCGCUCAACGGGGUGAAGUGCCAUUGAUACUGCCUGGCUGGAAUGCGGAUGCCGUGGGAGGAAUGUGUGGUGUAGCGGUGAAAUGCAUAGAUAUCACACAGAACACCGAUUGCGAAGGCAUCUCACGAAUCCGCGAUUGACGCUGAUGCACGAAAGCGUGGGUAUCAAACAGGAUUAGAUACCCGAGUAGUC